rnacentral:rRNA from 1 species
AGAGUGAUGUGGAGACGGAGGAGUGACAACGCCGCGGACUGACGGAAUAGUCCGUUAAAGGGUGUAGAUGUUGAUUAUCCCAGGCAAAUCCGGGAUAAGAGUCGAACCUGAUAGUAUACCAAUUUCCCCGGAAAACGGUAAUAGUGCGUGUAAACAUACUCCCAAGAAAAUCCGCUAAACUUAAUCUUACAGGUACCCGUACCGUAAACGGACACACGUAGUC